GAUCCUGGCUCAGAUUGAGCGCUGACGGCAGGCUUAACACAUGCAAGUCGAACGGUAACAUAAAGAAGCUUGCUUCUUUGAUGACGAGUGGCGGACGGGUGAGUAAUGCUUGGGAAUCUAGCUUAUGGAGGGGGGAUAACUACGGGAAACUGUAGCUAAUACCGCGUAGUAUCGAGAGAUGAAAGUGUGGGACCUUCGGGCCACAUGCCAUAGGAUGAGCCCAAGUGGGAUUAGGUAGUUGG
rnacentral:rRNA from 1 species